rnacentral:rRNA from 1 species
AUUGAACGCUGGCGGCAUGCUUUACACAUGCAAGUCGAACGGCGGCACGGGGGCAACCCUGGUGGCGAGUGGCGAACGGGUGAGUAACACAUCGGAACGUGCCCAGUUGUGGGGGAUAACCUAUCGAAAGGUAGGCUAAUACCGCAUGAGCUCGGCAAGAGGAAAGCGGGGGACUCGGCGAUGGGCCUCGCGCGACUGGAGCGGCCGAUGUCCGAUUAGCUAGUUGGGGGGUAAAGGCUUACCAAGGCGACGAUCGGUAGCUGGUCUGAGAGGAUGAUCAGCCACACUGGGACUGAGACACGGCCCAGACUCCUACGGGAGGCAGCAGUGGGGAAUUUUGGACAAUGGGGGCAACCCUGAUCCAGCCAUGCCGCGUGAGUGAAGAAGGCCUGGUU